AGUGAACGCUGGCGGCAGGCCUAAUACAUGCAAGUCGAACGGCAGCACAGCAGAGCUUGCUCUGUGGGUGGCCAGUGGCGGACGGGUGAGGAAUACAUGGGAAUCUGCCCAGUCGUGGGGGAUAACGUAGGGAAACUUACGCUAAUACCGCAUGCGCCCUUCGGGGGAAAGCCGGGGACCUUCGGGCCUGGCGCGAUUGGAUGAGCCCAUGUCGGAUUAGCUAGUUGCGGGGUAAAGGCCCACCAAGGCGACGAUCCGUAGCUGGUCUGAGAGGAUGAUCAGCCACACUGGAACUGAGACACGGGUCCAGACUCCUACGGGGAGGCAGCAGUAGGGGAAUAUUCGGACAAUGGGCGCAAGCCUGAUCCAGCCAUGCCGCGUGAGUGAAGAAGGCCCUCGGGUUGUAAAGCUCUUUUGUCCGGAAAGAAAGCGCCGGGUUAANACCCUGGUGUCCUGACGGUACCGAAGAAUAAGCACCGGCUAACUUCGUGCCAGCAGCCGUACGG
rnacentral:rRNA from 1 species